AACUUAGGAAGGUAAUUGUUUAAGCAAUUCUAGGAAUUUUCACGUGCUAACUUAUGAGGAUCAAGAAGGGGACUGGAUGAUGGUUGGAGAUGUGUCGUGGGAGAUGUUCUUGAACAGUGUGAAGAGGCUGAAGAUCACAAGAGCUUACAGAUGCUAGUUAAUUUAAUAAUGUAUACAAUCUCUCUCACAACACAAGCUCCUCCUCAAUUUUCAUUGUUCAUAAAUUUUUGCUGUAGAUCUAGUUAUUAAUUAGUGGGUUGGUGAAACUCGUUGAAGUAUUUCACCAAAAAGAAUGGAUCCCGUGAUUAUCAUAUAUCUAAUAGCUUUAUACACCAAAAAACAAUAUAGAUGUGUAACUUCUUACCUAAUUCUCAAUUCAGUACAUAGCUGCAUUAUUCUUAGUCUCUCUGUUUGAUGAUGGAGUCAUCUAAUUUUCCUCUUUGUUUUGGAACUAGCUCCAUUAUUUUGUAGUCAUUUGGAACAAUGCAUCUCCCUUUUGUCUUCAUACCUUUAAUGCAUGAUGUUUCUUGGUGUC